AAAUUAGGGAUAUAAAAGAAAAUCAAUCAAAAGAGGUCACUAAAUCCUCAACAAAAAGAAAAUAAGGUGAUUGCCAUUUCAAAGAAAAUAUCAUCUUGAACCCUCAUCUUUACCAUCACACCUUUGAACCCUCUUGGAAGUUGAAUGUGUAUGUCAAUUAACUGAACGUAGGAACUGAAGUUCAUCAAGAAGAAGGAGUGGGUUAAAAUUAAAUUU
rnacentral:lncRNA from 1 species